rnacentral:rRNA from 1 species
CACGUAGGGGGCGAGCGUUGUCCGGAAUCACUGGGCGUAAAGGGAGCGUAGGCGGCCUGUCGUGUCCUGCGUGAAAGUCGUCGGCUUAACCGGCGACAGUCGUGGGAAACUGCGGGGCUUGAGUGCCGGAGAGGGUGGCGGAAUUCCCGGUGUAGCGGUGAAGUGCGUAGAUAUCGGGAGGAACACCAGUGGCGAAGGCGGCCACCUGGACGGUGACUGACGCUGAGGCUCGAAAGCUGGGGGAGCAAACAGG